rnacentral:rRNA from 1 species
AACGAACGCUGGCGGCAUGCCUAACACAUGCAAGUCGAGCGAGACCUUCGGGUCUAGUGGCGCACGGGUGCGUAACGCGUGGGAACCUGCCCUUAGGUUCGGAAUAACUCCCCGAAAGGGGUGCUAAUACCGGAUAAUGUCUUCGGACCAAAGAUUUAUCGCCUUUGGAUGGGCCCGCGUUGGAUUAGCUAGUUGGUAGGGUAAAAGCCUACCAAGGCGACGAUCCACAGCUGGUCUGAGAGGAUGAUCAGCCACACUGGGACUGAGACACGGCCCAGACUCCUACGGGAGGCAGCAGUGGGGAAUAUUGGACAAUGGGCGAAAGCCUGAUCCAGCAAUGCCGGGUGAGUGAUGAAGGCCUUAGGGUUGUAAAGCUCUUUUCCCCGGGAUGAUAAUGACAGUACCGGGAAAAUAAGCCCCGGCUAACCCCGU